AAGUCGUAACAAGGUCUCCGUAGGUGAACCUGCGGAGGGAUCAUUAACACGUUUUAAAACACGUUUUAACUAACACCAACCAACCACGUGAACUAUUUAACACUCCUGGAAGAGAAAGAAUUCUGUCUCCUCUCACUAAUGAUAAGUUUACAAGCAAUUGUGAACAGUGAGUUUAGACUAACAUUGCAGUUAAGAGCUGACUUGUAAAGACCUUUUUCUUUUGGGCUAAAUGCUCCUAUUAUCAUUCGAGCGAAAACAACCCCUUUCACCAUUUCUAUAACUAUUGACUGAUCUUUUUCUUUGCAACAUAAGAAAAAACCUAAUCAAAUAUCUAAGCACAACUCUUAGCAACGGAUAUCUUGGUUCUC
rnacentral:misc_RNA from 1 species